rnacentral:lncRNA from 1 species
CAACACUCAACUCAGCCCUUCUUCCUAAUGUUUUUCUUAGAUACCUCAGCUUGUGCUGCUCCAUGGCCUUAACGCGAUCUUUCCCACGAUGGAUUGGGCCUAUAGAGACUAAUUCGGGUUCAAAAUCCUUUUCAUUUACUUGCCUUAGGUGUUGAUAUACUUUGGCUAUGAUAGGCUUUGAGGGAGUGAGAGAAGUAGACAAUUGAUGAAGCAAGUUUUCAAUCUUAACAACAACACUGUCUCUCUCCUCUGUCAUCUUCAAGAAUUAAGCCAAGAAACCAGAAAUUAUAUAUGCUACAGAAGAAGAAAACACCAUAAAAAUAUUAAACAUGUAGCAAUCUACAUAGGUUCAUUUGUUAUUGAAACUUACAAGAUUAACAAAAUGUCGAGCAUACUUACUAGAUUAGGAGUAGGGAAUUUGAGUAGCUGAAACACGAAGCCAAAGCGUUGAUAUUGUACGUUGCUGCAGCUGAUUUCUUCUUGUUACAUUUCUUGUAAGAGAACUUUCAUCCCCUCUUAAUAUGCAUUAUUGGAGUAGUUUACAAAGCGAAUCUUGUGGCGGAAAUUAAGUCAAUUUCCAAGAACUUUACUUUAGAUAAAGAAAUUAAUGCUUAAGAAAUUUCAUGUGAAAUUUCGUGAAUGUGGGUUCGGUCAACGAAAUUGACGCCGACUGUGUGUCUUCACAAUUUUGCACUUUGGUCAACGAAAGUUGCAGGGAAAAUCAAAAUGAAAACAACAAGGGAAAAAUAUUUUUUUUAAAAACAUAAAUUAUAAAUAAAAUUAAAAUAUAAAUAUAUUCGGUUAAAUCGAUCAAUUCGGUCCGGUUCGACGGUUUUGAUUGCAAGUAGGGCUGGUUUCGCCUGAAUCGGCGGUUCACGGUUCACUGGAACCAGUCUGCCUGAGUAUAGAGGUUCAGGGUCCGGUUUGAACAAUCGAUUUUCGGGCCGAACCGGUUAUUUUUUUUUAAUAUUAAAUUUGAAUUUGAGUAUUGUGUAUAUUUUCACUCCAGGAUCAUCUAUUAGGCCUAAUUUAUCAAUGUUUCACUCCAUUUUCAACUCAGGGUGCGUUCUGUUUGUUUGUAAAUUUAUCAUGAGAAAAUGAAGGAUAAACAAAAUUUCACCCUUUAAAUCUUUCCUUUCUUUUUCCACAUAAACUCUGCCUCAGGCCGGCAUUCGCCUCAAACGGUCUAAACAAAACCUCCUCACUUUCAAAGCCAGAGUCCUCAAAUUCCCACCUCUGCAAGUCUCAGGCAAGACAGAGUCCCUUCUGAGGAACUUGAUGGCCUACGAGCAGCUCUGCCUCGAUGAUGAUCAUCCAAAACACGUGACAGACUACGCGUUCUUCAUGCAUUGCCUCAUCAGAUCAACGAAAGACAUUGAGAUACUGCGACGCAGUGGGAUCAUUAGUAACUACCCUACCUAGGAGGCGACGACAACAUCUGCCUAAUGUUUAACAGAUUGGGGACAAACUUUCUCAUCAGAUCAUCAGAUUUUUGCUACUCUGAUGUCUUUGUGAGCUUGAACAGGCAUUGUGGCCGCCGGCACAAGAAAUGGAUGGCGAAAUUGAGGCGAAACUACUUCAAUAGUCCGUGGUCCGUGAUCAAGUUCGUUGCUGCUGCAGUGCUGCUGCUGCUCACCUUAACACAAACUGUUUUUGCUAUACUUGCUUAUGAGCAGAGGAAUGAUGUGAUGAGAGUGCGUUUGAUUUCAAUGUGAUUCAACUAUGUAUGUAUGUAGGGAGAAAAUCAUUUGUAAUCUUAUCAACUGUUUAUCUAAUGUAAAAGAUUUGAGUAAAAAAUCACUUCAAAAAUUUGUUUUCCUUCAAAAAUUUCGUAGUAAAUUACCUUGGAAUUUUAGCUAGCAGUAAAAAUAAAAAAUAAAGUGGAAAAAAAGAAUCAUAAACUUCAACUGAUAGGCCUAGUUUAUGAUUCUUUCUUCUCAUUCUCAUUCACUGCAAACAACGGUAGCAACACAGUGCACCACACGUGCUCUGCCUCGGAGAUGGAGGAGGCCGGGAUUAGGCUACACGGGUCGAGAGGAAUCACUCUAAGGGAUAUCAGUUUUGCCAAUGGAGCCAUAAAACUCCCACCAUUAUGCUUAUCAGAUAAAACUGAGUCCAUGUUGAGGAACUUGAUCGUGUACGAGCUCUGCUUCUUCCCUGAUGAUCAUCCGAGGUAUGUGAAAGAUUACUUGUUUUUCAUUCAUUGUUUCAUCAGAUCCACCAAAGAUGUUGAGAUACUACGACGAAGUGGGAUCAUCAGCAACUUCCUAGGCAGUGAUGAGAUGAUCUGCAGCAUGUUCAACAGAUUGGGGAAGAAUGUUGUGGUUUCAUCAUCAGAUUUUUGCUAUUCAAAUGUGUUUGAGAGUUUGAACAGAUGCAAACGGCUUCGACGUGGGAGAUGGAUGGCAAGAGUGAGGAGGAAUUACUUGAAGAUAUCAGUUGCUGUGCUUCUCAUACUAGCAUUUUUUCACACAGUUGUUUGCUCUUACAAGAAAUGGUUACUCUUAUCUGCAAACAUGUUGUGUGUGUUUAGCUUGCAUGUAUAUCUUAAUCUUAAUAAAUAAUGAAUAUUGGCUUUCUUGAUUUUGUUUGUANNNNNNNNNNNNNNNNNNNNNNNNNNNNNNNNNNNNNNNNNNNNNNNNNNNNNNNNNNNNNNNNNNNNNNNNNNNNNNNNNNNNNNNNNNNNNNNNNNNNNNNNNNNNNNNNNNNNNNNNNNNNNNNNNNNNNNNNNNNNNNNNNNNNNNNNNNNNNNNNNNNNNNNNNNNNNNNNNNNNNNNNNNNNNNNNNNNNNNNNNNNNNNNNNNNNNNNNNNNNNNNNNNNNNNNNNNNNNNNNNNNNNNNNNNNNNNNNNNNNUCUGUCAAACAUGAGGCAGAUGUUGUCGUCCCUCCUAGGAAGUUACUAAUGAUCCCACUGCGUCGCAGUACCUCAAUGUCUUCCGUUGAUCUGAUGAGGCAGUUCAUGAAGAACACGUAGUCUGUCACGUGUUUGGGGUGAUCAUCAUCGAGGCAGUGCUGCUCGUAGGCCAUCAAGUUCCUCAGCAGGGACUCUGUCUUGCCUGAGACUUGCAGGGGUGGGAAUUUGAGGACUCCGGCCUUGAAAGUGAGGAGGUUUUUUUCAGACCGUUUGAGGCGAAUGCCGGCCUCGUUCAGCUCCGAGGCAGAGUUUAUGUGGGCUAAUGAGUUCCUAUGUUCACCUAUGUAAAGAGUUUGAGUUGAAAAUGGAGUUGAAAACAGAGAUGCUCUGUUUUGAUCAUGUUGAAGAGGUGGUUCAAGAAGGAGAAAGGGAGCUGGUUCUCAACAGCAUCAGGUCAUGUGUGAUCUGGCUGAGUGUCGUGGGCUCGAAGACGGGGUCUUUCUCUGUCGAGGCGUCGGAGACCUGCAUGUGCCUUCUCACGAGCUCGAUGAGGAAGCAGCCAUCAAGAAGCAGCAUUCUCACAAACUCAUCUGCAUCGACAUUUAGAGGUGUUGAGUAGCAUUGGAGGGCCAUCUCUGUUUUUUCACUCACUUUUUGGACCAGUUUUGCUAUGGUGAGAUCAUCUCUUCUCUGCAGAAGUUGCUGCAGAUACCUCAGCUUGUGCUGCUCCAUCCCCUUCAGAUGAGGUUUCCCUCGAUGGAUGGGGCCGAUAGCCACGAUCUUCGGUUCAUAAUCCUUUUCAUUCACUUGGCGCAACCGAUCAUCCACUUCAAAUAUUUUGGGUUGAAUAGUGUUGUUCAAAUUCUCAAUCAAACCUUGGAUGUUGCAAGUCACACUGUCUUCUCCAUUUGACAUCUGUGAGAACUCAGCCAAGAAAGAUGCCAAAGUUUCAAUGCCAGCAACUUUGAUAUAUAGAUGAGAAUUAAACCUGCAAGACGCGAUUAUUUGGACAAAAGCAUAGUCACAAUUUGAUCAAGAUUCAAGAUGGAGGGGAAAGACUCAAUGGUGUUUGCUGUUUCUAUACAUUCUUCGUGUGGAUCUAGAUUUAUAGAUAACAUCAGCUUAAGGCUAGGUGAAGAGCUAAACAACUUAACCAGAGUUUGAGAUUUUGAGUCCGAAACUACCAAGAAGUUUCUAUGCACGAGAAAUGUAAUUUCCUAAAGUUUUGGUGUUUUGGUACAUAUCUCAGGUUUGAGAAGACUAAAAAGACAAUGCUUGCAAAUUCACUAGGAAAUUUCGCAUGAACUUUCUCAAGCAUGAAGUCUUUCUAAAGUAUAGUUCUUGGAAAUUGAUUUAAUUUCUGCACCGAACGCUCACUUUGUCAAUACAAUAAUGAAAAGAGGGCAAAAAAGUUCUUUAAAAAUAAAAUAACACGAAGAAAUCUGCAGCAGCCAGGGGCAGGCCCCCAAAUUUUUAACUUCUUUUAAAAUUUUAUAUAUUUACUGAAUACGCCAACAAUUGUACUGAAUAAAAUAACUUUAUUGAGGGGAAAGUUUCACGAAGAAAUCAGCUGCAGCAACUUUUCUCGUCUAAGGAGCAACGCUUUGGCUUCAAGUUUCAGCUACUCAAAUUUUGUUUAUCUUGUAAGUUUCAAUAACAAAUGAACCUCUGUAGAUUGCUACAUGUUUAAUAUUUUUAUGGUGUUUUCUUCUUCUGUAGCAUAUAUAAUUUCUGGUUUCUUGGCUUAAUUCUUGAAGAUGACGAGGAGAGAGACUGUGUUGUUGUUAGAUUGAAAACUUGCUUCAUCAUUGUCUACUUCUUCACUCCCUCAAAGCCUAUCAUAGCUAAAGUAAUCAACACCUAAGGCAAGUAAAUGAAAAGGAUUUUGAACCCGAAUUAGUCUCUAUAGGCCCAAUCCAUCGUGGGAAAGAUCGCGUUAAGGCCAUGGAGCAGCACAAGCUGAGGUAUCUAAGAAAAACAUUAGGAAGAAGGGCUGAGUUGAGUGUUGAGAAAUGUGUGUUGGAAGUGAGGAGCAUGGAGGAAAAAGGCUCGCCUCUACUACGCGAAAACAAUCAGUCUUGAUCAAGAUGAGUUUGUGGAGAUGUUGCUUCUUGAUGGAUGCUUCGUGAUUGAGCUGCUGAGAAGCGUAUGGUUUAGUGAUUUGAGAGACAUGAGUGAUCAAAUAUUUCAAUUUAAUCACAUGUUAGUCCAAAUAAGGCAUGAUCUUCUGUUGUUGGAGAACCAGCUCCCUUUCUUCGUGUUGAACGAGCUUUUCGACAUGACAAGGAUGGAACAUCCAGACGAUAACAUACACCAUCUCCUCCUCUUUCUAGCCGGAGACGUGUUCCCAUGGCCGGAUUCCUCAAUGCUCAACUCGAGUUCAGAUAUGUUGCACAGUGCUGAGCAUCUAUUAGGCCUAGUGUAUGAUUCUUUCAUCUCAUUCUCAUUCUCAGCCAAGUGCUUCACUGAAAACAACGGUUGCAACACGGUGCACCACACGUGCUCUGCCUCGGAGAUGGAGGAGGCCGGGAUUAGGCUAAAAGGGUCGAAAGGGAUGAGUCUAAGGGAUAUCAGUUUUGCCAAAGGAGUCAUAAAACUCCCACCAUUAUGCAUAUCAGAUAAAACUGAGUCCAUGUUGAGGAACUUGAUCGCGUACGAGCUCUGCUUCUUCCCUGAUGAUCAUCCGAGGUAUGUGACAGAUUACUUGUUUUUCAUACAUUGUUUCAUCAGAUCCACCAAAGAUGUUGAGAUACUACGACGAAGCGGGGUCAUCAGCAACUUCAUAGGCAGUGAUGAGAUGAUCUGCAGCAUGUUUAAGAGAUUGGGGAAGAAUGUUGUGGUUUCAUCAUCGGAUUUUUGCUACUCAAAUGUGUUUGAGAGUUUGAACAGAUGUAAACGGCUUCGACGUGGGAGAUGGAUGGCAAGAGUGAGGAGGAAUUACUUGAAGUAUCAGCUGCUGUGCUUCUCAUACUAACCUUUUUUCAUACAGUUGUUUCUAUGCUUUCUUACAAGAAAUGGUAACUCUUUUCUGCAAAGUAAACAUGUUGUGUGUUGUAGCUUGCAAGUUUAUCUUAAUAAAUAAUGAAUAUUGGCUUUCUUAACAUGUUGUGUGUUGUAGCUUGCAAGUUUAUAUUAAUAAAUAAUGAAUAUUGGCUUUCUUGUUUUUGUUUGUAGGGUAAAUAUCACUUUAAACCUCAAACUAUUUUCGCACUAUCAAUUAUAUCCUGAACUAUCGAAAAUAAUUUUUUAAGCCUUGAACUAUCGAUUUUGUAUCAAUUGUAUACCACAAAGUAUAUGUUUUCAAAUAGUUUUAACUGUAAUUUUCAAUUUCUAAUAUUUUUUUGUUUUAAUUUUUGUAAUUUUCAAUUUUUAAUUUUUUCUAUUUUAAUUAUCACUAUUUCCGUCCCACAAUUUAGUAUCCAUAUUUUCAUUUUAAUCUAUCCUCUAAUUUAGUAUUCAUUUCUAUUUUUAGUAAAAGUACUCCCACAACCCUAUAAAAUGUUGGCAUCUUACCUUACUCCAAUUUAAUCAUUCUAACACUCUCAUAAAUCUGAGACACUUAUUCAACUUACAACACAUUCAACCACUUUAUUAAAAUUCGUGUCAUUCUCAAUCUCAAAUGGAUAGUAAAUUGUGGGACGGAGAGAGUAUAAUUUUUGAAUUUAAAUUAAUAAAAAUUUUAAUUUUAAAAUUCGAUAUUUAUUUUAAUCUUAAAAUAUACUCUCUCUCCGUCCAUAAUAUCGUUGUCAUUUUUAUCGUUUUAGUCCGUCUGCAAAAUCCUUGUAGAACCUAAACUCUAUUCACAACAAUAUUCACUAUUAUUAACUACUACUAUUUAUCACUUUUUUAAAAUCAAUGUCGUCCACGAAAUCGCAACGAUAUUGUAAAAGAAGGCAGUAUUAUUUUUGAUAAAUACUUUCUUCGUCCCUUCUCAAUUGACCUAGUUCUUUUCGACACGGUUAUUAAAGAGACUGAUAUUGUAGUGUAAAGUAAUAUAAAGUAAAUGAAUUCAUAUCUUUUGUAGUGAAAAUUUAUUACUAAAAAAAAUUGGUCAAGUCAGGUGGAACAGGCCGCAAAAAAAAUUAGGCAAAGAAAACUAGGCCGAGUGAGCUGAGGCGAAGGGUGUAAAAUUUAUAGAGUUCAUCAUUGAACCUCCGCCGCGGAUGGGGUGACUUGGAGCAACCACUAUGGGGGAAAGUUAGGAGGCAGUAAAAUUACUUCCUCCAUUGUGGGACCGUUUACGUUGGAAAGCAAAUUGAAGGAAGCAAAUCAAAGCAAGUGAAAUUGCUACAAGUAUAGCAAAUGGUGGCCCCCUUCUUUAAUUGUUUGAUUUGUUGUGCGUGUCUUUUGUUUGAGUGGAUCAAAUGCUGAAAUGUGUUUCGAAAUUCAAUUUUUUUUUUUUGACAAAAUGGCUUCGCAAAAUGUGUUUUGAAAUUUAUAUUUUUUUUGACAUAAUUAUAUUAAUUUUAAAUUAUACUCCCUCCGUCCCGGUCAAGACGCUAUAUUUGCUUUUCAGCAUGGGAUUUAAGAAGUUGUAGAUUAAUGUUUUAAGUGUGUAAUAAUAAAGUGAUAAAGUAAGAGAGAGAAAGUAAUAAAGUGAUAAAAUAAGAAAGAAAAAGUAAUAAAGUGAUAAAGUAGAAGAGAGGAGGCAAUAAAGAAAAUACUUAAUUAGUGUUAAUUAAGUAUUUAAAAUUCCUUAUUUUUGUCAAAUAUAGAAAUGUAGCAUCUUCGUUGGGACGGUCCGAAAAAGAAUAUGUAGCAUCUUGGGCGGGACGGAGGGAGUAUUUUUUUUAUUUAAAAAAUAAAUUUAUUUGUGUAAUUAUAUAAAUUUCAUUGAAGUAAAAUAUUAUACAAAAAAUAAAAUACAUAAAUAAUAUAUAUGUAUAUAUAUAGUGAUAAAUAUAAGUAAUAACGAUAGUGGGGUCCAUGAAUAAUUAAAUACUCCCGCCGUCUAUAAAAGAACUUCUUAGGAGGGAGUGACACAGAUUUUAAUAAAAAUUAUUGUUGAGUGUAUUGAGAGUGGAGAAAAGGUAGUUGUGUGUAUUGAGAGUGGUGAAAAAGUGUUAUAUUGAGAGUUGUGAAAAGUGAAAAGUAAAAGUAAUUAUAAGUAAUGGGGGAUAGUCCAAAAAUAGGUAGAAAUUUUUUUUGUGAACGUCCCAAAAAGAAAAGGUAGGAAGUUCUUUCAUGAACGGAUGAAGUAUGAAAUCGUGGCACAAUAAAGAAAAUAUGAAAUAGUUGAAAAAUAAGAUAGGACGUUGUUGAGCUGACAUACAUAGGAGUCAUAUGUAUGCUCUUAGGGUGGAUGCUCUUAGGGUGGGAACCACUGUUGAGUAGCAUCGUAGUGAUGCUCUUACUCUUAGGGUGGGAACCACCUCUACAUGGCCUGCAAGCUGUGAAUGCUAUUAUUUCUUUGUCAGAGUUUGCCUCAAUCAUUGACUUAGAUAAACAUCUCUCAUGCUUCAAAGAUACAGCACCUCAAAGCUUCAAAUGAUCCUUUAUGUGAGCUCACAUUUCACAUAGAUGGAAAAUUUCUGGAGGUUAGCAAAGUUACAGCAAGCAUACCAAGACGAGAUCUAUGGUAAGAUUUUCUUCAUAUAUAUCAGUUUUUUAAGCUACAACUCCAAAUCAUUACUAUGUUUUCUGUUUUAUCGGAUGAAAAUCACGAAUAUUUUUUAAGCAAACAUCUCUCUCUCUAUAACCCAUACACCCCUCCAAUCUUUCCUAUAUACAAAUGAAUCUGAUAGUUCAUUAUUUUUUUUACUUUUUCUGCAAUUUCGAUUUAUUGUGAUUUAAUUUAAUUUUUUAUUUAUUAGUAAUUAGGAUUUACCAAUUUAAUUAAUGCGUGUAAUUAGGAUAUAUAUAUAUAUAUAUAUAUAUAUAAUUUAUUUUCAUUUUGUUGUAAAAAAUAAUACGGAGUAAUAAUAUUUUAUUUCAAAAUAUUACCUUUAAUAAAAUUAUAUACUUAUUUGUGAAAAGUGAUAUAUAGAUUAGCCAUAAAUCUUUAGGAUAGAAUUACAUAAAAAUAAAAAUAAAAUUAUAGUAUAUUUUUUAUAUAUAUAAUUAGAACUAUGGGUUGGAUCUAGAUCGAGUCUGGAUCUCAUAACUCCUACUUCAUAUCUAGGUUCAAAAAUUUUAAGAAUAGUCCAAAUUCAGUUUAAAUUUAUCGAAUCUGAUUUUUGCAAGGUCCAAAUCCAAAAAAAUAGAAUCUGGUUCAAUAUUCACUAUCAUCCCUAAUAAGAGAACUAUGGGAUAUUGAGUUGGAUGAAAAUAUUUUAUGUGAAAAAUUAGUUUAAAUUUAUUAUUAUUAUUAUUAUUAUUAUUAUUAUUAUUAGAAGCUAUGUCUAAAAUGACCUCACCGAAAUAAUCGGCAACCCGUUUGAUCUUCUGUUUUCUUUUUGGGCUAUUUCCUUAUUCGUCUUUUGUUAUUUAUAAUUAGAUGGGCUCAAACUUAUGAGAGUCCAAGCUCAGCCCAAUAUUCUUCUUUUGCUGUUUUUAAUUGAAUGGGCUCGAAUUACUGAGGGCCCAAGAUCAAGCCCAAUAAUCUCAUCCUACCCAAAAUAUAACCCAAUUUAUGACCUAGAACUUAUGCUAGCGGUGGCAGGCCAAAUGGGAUCCUCUGUACCAAAAUAUAGUGUAUACCACGUGUACCACUUUUCAUUUUUUUAUAUUUUAAAAUUAUUUUUUAUUCAAUUUUAAUUUAUUAUGCUUUUAUAUAAUAUAAAGAUAAUUAACAAGGGUUCACUCAUCCAUUUAGGGUUUAUAAUUAUUUUUUUUAUAUUUAUUUGAAUUAAUAAUAGAAUAUUUGGGUUCAUUUAAUUCAAAGUUAGGGUAUAUAAUUUUUUAAAUUUAUUAUUUGAUGUGAAAAAUUAGUUUAAAUUUAUUAUUGUUAUUAUUAAAUUAGAAGCUAUGUCUAAAAUGACCUCACCGAAAUAAUCGGCAACCCUUUUGAUCUUUUGUUUUCUUUUCGGCCUAUUUCCUUCUUCGUCUUUUGUUAUUUAUAAUUAGAUGGGCUCAAACUAAUGAGAAUCCAAGCUCAGCCCAAUAUUCUUCUUUUGCUGUUUUUAAUUGAUGGGCUCGAAUUAAUGAGGGCCCAAGCCCAAUAAUCUCAGCCUACCCAAAUAGUUAGACCGGGGAAAUAUAACCCAAUUUAUGACCUAGAACUUAUGCUGGCGGUGGCAGGCGGGUUUGUAAUGAACUCGAGCUAAGUAAUAAUUUUAUUACGUAAAUUUUUGCUUCUCAUACAACUUGCACUUAUAUGCUUCAUUUUAUUUAAGAUGAUACGUUUAUCUACUAAAAUAAUGCAUUCACAAUAAUCUUUAUAAUCGUAUAAUUGAAAAUACUGAUCGUUGGACGUCCAAGGUCCAACCAAUCUCACUGAAUUUGAACGCCCAAACGAUGAGUAAUUUUGGCGUCCAAAGGUCCAACCAACAAAAAUAAAACAUGCAAAUUAACCUAAUGACCUAACAAAAUAUGAGUUCCAUUUUCCCAUUGAAUUUGGCCUAUAUUUUAGGUCAAUUAAAAUGGGUCGAAUGGAUUUAUUGUAAAUUAAGUAAAUACCAAAAAUGAAAAACUCUUAAUUCAUGAAUAGAAUCCAUCUACUUAGCUCAUCUUCCAAUUCUCUCAAAGUAGGCCUUUCCUCCACUGCUCCGCCACUCUCCUCAUCAUCAACAGCUCCAGACACCGAAUCUCCCCCAUUUUCCGACGCCCUCCGCCACGGAAGAAGUUGGAGCAGCACCGCUUUCGCGCGGGGAAGAACGCCUGCGCCGCCGCGCAUGAAGCCGGAAAGCGCGCGGUUCCCAUCUACGUGGUGCUCGUAAACUAGUAAGGGAAAACUCGUCUCCAAACAGCAGCCCGAAAUCCUAAUUACAUUUCCGCCGCGUAUAGAGCGACGGAUCACCUCGUCGAUGAACUGCUCGAUUUUCGAUUCCGGCACCAGCGACGGAAUCUUCAUCACGGCGGCCUCUCGACUAUUCUCGAAGGUUCCGCGGUAGAAUUCCCCCCGCUCGCUGUAAUUGUUAGUGGCGUUCUCCAUUUCCUGAGCUGCGUAUAUUUUGAGGUGCGCAGAUCCCUCGCGCUUGGAUAGCUUCUUCUUCAAUAUGUUUCCGCCAUUUCUGUCGAACAAGCUCAUUCUGUGGCGCUCGAGCUUCCUUCUCUGAUGCGACCAAACGAUCCAAGUGCUCGCGAAGAGGGGCGGGAGCACCAACACCCCCAAUAAGUAGGGGAUUUUAGAGUCGAUGUAGAUUCCAUGGCCGCUCCGCAAGGCGGAGGUAGUUUCGGUGAGGGAGGAAGAGAGGGUGAGAAAGAAAAUCAGCAACUUGAGAAGCUUCGAAUUGUGGAGAGAGAUUUUGAGAGACAUCGUGGAAGGUGGUGAAAAUCAGCGUUCUCGGCUUUCGUUUUGAUGCCUCUCUUUGCAAUUUACACUCUGAUGUACUGAAUCGUUGGUCUGGCGGUUUGCUUAUUUUGGUGGUAGUUUGAAUUGAAUAUUGGUUGAUGAUUUUCUGAAACUCGUAUAUGGGUUUAAUGUGUGCUUUUCUAGUCAACGAACAGGAAAUUUCUAUCUUACCUUUAUGGGAAUUCUCUUAUUCAACUUUUUGCAUGUGUUUGUUUGCCACAAUUCUAAGUUUCUCUGGUGAUUAAUCAGUAUUUUGUUUCUGUCUAGGUAGAUUGAUUAGUCUUGUAGAACUUAGAAGAAGGCCUGAAUGGAAAGCAAAAUCUGCGGAUCCAUAAAAUCUGUUGUGAACCUUCAAAUUCGAUGCAAUAAUCAUUUUGUUGUGAACCUUCAAAUUCGAUGUGGAGUCCAUAAAAUCUGUAGUUCUCCUGGAGCGGAUCCUGUAUAGAAUCCAGAAAUUUUCAGACAUGUAGAUGUUUAAUUCUAAUUGUUAAGAUGCAUAUGGACAUUUAUACGUUUUAGAGGUUGCAUGAAAACUACACUAGUUAUUGAGUUUUCCAAUUUAUCUCCUAAUAAUUUAUAUAAUGUGCUUAUGUGUUUGGCUUCAGUUUCUGAACUUUGUGUCUGACGAAACUAUUUACAUUUGGUUUUCUAGAUUGCAGUUGCUCUUGCUGUUGCAGCCAUCCCUGAAGGGCUACCUGCUGUUGUUACAACGUUAGUUCUUUAUUCUGUUUUACAUAACAUGUCAUAUGUACAUCAGCAUUCUCAUACCGUUUUUCUCGGAAAAGACCUGGCAAAUGUGGCAAGGGAUUGGCUUUGAUAAUGAGUUGUUGGACAAAUCACUGAGCAACUUAUUGGAAGACCUCUGAAUCUGUUUGUCACAUGCUCUGUACGAUUUGCUAUAGUAUCUGUCAUGGAUUUGUGAGAACUUUUAGCAGGCACUCCCUGUUAGCUCUAUUUCAGAGUAUAGUUAUUGUUUGCCUUCUAAUUGGCUACCUUUGUUCGGGUAAUAGUAAUCAGUUUCUUUUGUCUGUAUUCUAUUCCCUCGUAUUGUCCUAGAUACAACAAUUCCAAGUUUAAAUAUGCUUGACCUGUUCUAGCAUCCUUGAGAAUACAUUUUGCUCAAAGUAUAAGGUGUAGGCAUAGGUCCUACUGCAAGUAUUUUUGAUUGAAUAUAUUUUCGGUAGAGGAUUAUUUAGUAUGUUCUAUAGUAGGUAAUAAACAACUAUUAAAAAGGCUUGCAAGAAAGAUCACUUUUUGGCUCAUGAAGGUUGGCUAUGGGUUUACUAGGUUAUUGUCUUAGGUAGGCCAGAUAAGGAUGCUUAUUCAGUCUCUUACUUUCACCCAGCAGUGUUGAUAUACUUGCAGAUAAAGAGAAACUUACUUUCACCUCUGUUUUUUGAGGAAAUGCUGAUUGUUUCAAAUCCAUGCUUAAGAAGCAGCUUAGCUUUCUGCCUUACACAUCUUAAUUUCUCUGAGUGUCAGCAGGUGUCUAGCUCUUGGAACGAAACGAAUGGCUCGUUUAAAUGCUAUAGUUAGGGCGUUGCCAUCAGUAGAGACCUUAGGCUGUACAACAGUGAUUUGCAGUGACAAGACUGGUACUCUGACUACUAAUAUGAUGUUUGUCUCGAAGGUAUCAAUUUACACACAAUAAUCCUUCGUUCUUCUUUUACUUCUUUUAUUUUCCUCUGGGUUAUACUUUUUUUAAGGUUGAGAAGGGGGAAUAUAUGCUUUGGAAUGUUUCUCCUUUAUUAGCUUUGUCAGAAGCUCUGAUAAAUUUCUCUACACUUCUUACAUUUUAGCACUUAUGGUUUCACGUAAUGCUAGACUAAUUAAUUUUUUGUAUUUUUCCCCAUCAAGCUUCAAUUAUUCUGCCCAUGUGUUUAAGUGUGCAUAUACUUAUUUACACCAAUAUGUUAUUAUGUACUGCAUAUUUUCUUACAACUACUUUCACUGUAAAAGUUGAUUAAAAUGGCAUUGCUACUUUGAAUCACUAGGAAUUCCCCAUUUUUUGUGAGGACCAUUGUGAUGUUUAUAUCGAAAGUGGCAGACUGUGUCAGCCUUCCUAAAGAACUAAUAUUAAGUAUAACAUCUGCUUUCUCUUUGCAGGUAUCUGUGCUCCAUUCUGCAAAUCAUGUUCCUGUUGUAUUAAUACAUGUAAGUGGCACCACAUAUGCUCCAGAAGGUACUAUCUCCGACAGCACUACAGAGCUACAGGUAGUGUUCUAUUCAUGACAUUAGGUUUGUAUUUAUUGAUUGAUUAUAAGUUUAACACUAGACCAGUUUUCGAAAUAUCAAUAGUUAGUGCAAUGGAUUUUGUACCAGCAUUAUUUAUCUUGAAAAAAUCAUGUUUUCUUAUCAACUUAUAUUUAGUUUCAUAUCUUCUACAAUGUAUUGAUGUUUCUGACUGCUGUCUAAAAUUUGUCUACUUUGUACUUUGUUAUUCCAUAUGGUCACAGAUUCUUCUUCUCCCCUUGCUUGCUUACCAAUCCAACUACAAUUUUUUUUUUGAGAACCACCAUCUACCAAAAAUUUAUUAAAGGAUAUAUGCACCUUUUUCCUGAUUAUUUUGGCUUAUUAUCUUUCAUAUACUCUUUCGAAGGACCCUGUUUUCCCCUCUUUAUAGCUCAUCCAAUCUCCCUAGGCUCUGUCUAGGUUCCAGGUGGCCUUUUACCGUUCCUGCUUUUCCAAAUUCACCUUGCUCAGCCCUGCUGGACAGCUGGCUCCUUUUAGAAUAUUGAGCUUCUACUAUUUUUACAUGAUUCUUACUUGUCUAUUUUUAUUUUGGGUUUAUUAUAGUCAUAUAUUGACAACUUUUAUGUUUGUUAUUUGUAUUAUUUGUUGUAGUUAUUCUUAAUGUAAGAUUUAUCUGGGACCUAAUGCAGCUUGGGCUUCCAGCUAAUUUUCACUGUCUUCUACACACAGCAAUGUGCUCUGCCCUUUGCAAUGAAUCUAUUAAUCAGAGGCAUGUCUGACUGAAACAUAAGGAAGUUUGGACAACCAUCUGGUUGCACCAUUUCGUUAGUGGGUAUAAUUUCCAACUAUUUAGAUAUGGAACCUGUUGUCCAAUUACCACUUGUGAUAUCCUCACCAGUCUAUGGCAGGCAGUAUUAUAGCUAAAGUCAAUGAUGUUGUUGGUUUGAGGAAUUCAACCACAUGCUUAUUUAUGGAAUGAGGAAUGAGUCUUUCAUAUGUGGCUAUUUUUUUCAAACUGCCACUAAUGUUGUACUUAAAUACUAGCUUCUUGCAAUUUUUCCAUAGAAUUCUGUCAUAUGUAGUACCACAUUCGCUAAAAUGAUCCAGGGAAAAUGCAUAACAUGGAAUAUGACCACCUUCACCCUACAGGGAAUGUAUUGUUAUAGUUUCGGAGGUUUUUCUCUUGUCCUUGUACCAGUUAAUCCAUCUAGCUAAGUGACUGUCACUAUACUGAAUUUCAUGUAGCCUCUGCCUUUUUAAUGAAAUUUCACUGUCACAUCUUUUUUACUGUAUUUAUAUGGUUGAGUAGCUUUCUCAUCUUCUUGUCCUCAAGGAGGCCGAGAAAGAAAAAAAAAUGAAAGAAAAUGAAAUAGUUGUGUGAAAAUACUUGUAGAAAAUAUUAAAUCGGAAGAUGAGUUAAUUUUCUUUAAAUAUUGUAUUUUGUUGAAGCUUGUACUUCCAUGUUAGAUAACUUCUGAUCGUAUCUAUCAGAAAAAACUGCAAAUGACCUAUUAAGCAACUUGGCCUCGUACCUAAUGGACCAAAGAUUCGUGGGCUCGAUAAUUCCUUGGUUACAGCAGGCAAGUUCUUUUGGUUGCACUAUUUAUAACUAUAUGAAAUCAUCCAUAUCCGUAACAAAUGAUUAGCAUGUUAUCUAAAUGAUCACUCUGUUUUCAUCAGCUUGUGGAUCUCAGUAACAUCCACGGACCAACCUACCUGGUGCUCUCCUCGAAGACGAAACAAGAAUUCUUAUAUGGAGUCCAGGAGGCUGCCAAAUUGGAGAUAUUCAAUCCUGCAGAGAGAAGAUGCCUUACUGAAAUAGGCAAAAUGUUGUGCCAGUUUUGGGGUUAAGACAUUUUUACAUGUUUGAAUCUCUUAAGUGGAGUUCAUUUCUGUAUUGUAAUUCAAAUCAGAAAUCUUGCACAUUAUUUGAUGUGAAGGCUGGGAUCUGAUUAGUAAUAGGUCGUGUUGAAGUUGUAUAAACAAAUCUAUUGCUCCAGUUUGUGCAAAGUAUGAAGUUGUGCCUCAAGAUUUAGGGGUCAAAAUUUCACAAUCUGACUGGUUAUAAGCAUGACAAAGCUCAAACAGAUAUAAAGCAUUUGGUGAAAUAAGUCAUUUAUAAUCGGGUGUCAAAAUGCUUUUCUUGGAUACAUAAACACUUGCUUACUUUUCCAUUGAUAAGAAGAGCUACAAUGUUUAUGACUUGUGAAAAAUUAGGACAGAAUGGUACAGACUUAAUCUUCAAAAAAAGAACCUGUUUGCAUACACUUUCUUAACUGCAGGUUUCAACAAUCAAAUCUUAGAGAAGAGGCAAUAGAGGCUUUACUCCUUUGAAGGCUCAUUAGGUUGUUGAUUCUUUAUAGGGCGCGUCUUCUCUUUCGCUCUGACUUCUGAGUUGGUUUCUUAACCCUCUGUUGGGAUUCUGAGGCGCAUUUUUUGAGACUUCGUAAAGGGUUAUACUACCACUACUUUCUAUUGGGCUGAAUUCUUGUGUGACGAGGGGUUCGAGUAUCUCAAUGACUUGACUCAUGAGGGGUCUUCCUUUUGGGUUCUGACUGAGACAUUGAAAUGCCAGAUUGGCCACUUUCAUAAGAAUCUUGGUGGAGUACUGCCCCUCGAUUCUAGGAUCCAGUAUUCUCGAAAGCUUCUUGCUAUGGUUGAGGAGUGGACGUGCCCACUCCACAAGAUUAUGUUCUCGGCUUGGCCUGCUCUUGUCCAUCGCACGUCUUCCUAUAAGCAUCUCAAGCAGAACAACUCCAAACCCAUAGACAUCGCUUCUUGCUGUCAAAUGUCCUGAACAAUGUACAAAUGGAUGAUCAUUCAAUCACUAGUCAUAAACAAUGCAUUUAAAGAUGGUAAUAAGAGAUUUAGCCACAACUCGUCUAAGACUUAUAUCAAAGAGCAACCUACGCGUAAAUGGUAACAUCAGAUGUAGCGUUCAUAUCACGUCUGCCAUCACAAGACUCACCAGUCAUGACAUACUCAGGAGCAGCGUAACCAUAGGUGCCCAUAACCCGGGUUGAGACAUGAGUUUGAUCUCCCGUUGGCCCAACCCUUGCCAGCCCAAAAUUAGAAAGCUUUGCGUUGAAAUCCUGUGCUCGUUAUACACUUUAGCCACUGAAUGAUCGAUGGAGAUGACAAAAUUUUGCAUAACCAGAAGACAUUGUGAAAUCUAUGGGAUUCAUCAGUAGAAUUCCAUCCAAAUAUGUAACUCAUUUAUAAGACCUCAUUUGUACUAGUAAACACAUCUACUAACCUCAUCUAGCAAAAUGUUUGAAGUCUUAAAAUCCCUGUAAAUGAUAGUUUUUUCAACACCAUGAAGAAAAGCAAGCCCUCUCGCAGUAUCCAAAGCAAUCUUUAGUCUUCUAUGCCAUGUUAAUGUGGCUCGUACCCCUACAAGCAAAAACCACAGAAAAACUGUAAGGAGACUAACUAGGCUAAACCAGGUGGGAUAAAGAGCGCACACAGUCCAUCACACGUCUCUUUUAGUUUGAUGGUGCACUGUAAUAGCUAAUAUCUCCUUUAAUUUUUCAAAAACUAUGUUGGCAUCACAUAUAAUACAACCUCCAAUUUCAAAAUGAAUGUUCUUAUAAGCAACUUCGUUUUAGAUGGUUAUUGAAACCUCAGUUUUCCAUAUCAGGUGAUUGCUACACGAGUAAAUGAGUGAAAGAAUGCAAGUCACUCUCAGCUGAAACAAUUUCCCACUACUACCACUUACUAAAGAAAAGGUGUUUCUCGAGGCUCCCAGAUGCCAUAUAUUCAUAGACCAAAAGCCUAUGGUCAUCCUCGCAGCUGUAGCCAAUAAGUUUCACCAAAUUAGGAUGUCGGAGUUGGCCUAAAUAGUUUACUUCUGCCUGCAAAGGACAACUUACACAUUCAGCGAUAACUACCUUCUCUACAUUUAAUGAAUUAGAAAAAAGUUUCACUGAAUAGAUUUUUUAGAUUCGAGGCAGCAAAAGCAGUAGAGAUGGGUGCAGCCAUCCAGUCACUUAUUUGUCUAGAAAUUGAAAUAUUGUUCUGAUAAAAUUUCAAUUGCUGCUCUUCCGAUCCCAAUCAACAGCAGCUAAUUCUCAACCAAACAUAAUACAAGGACCAGGCUGCACUCCACAGAUACACGAUGGCUUAUCCCAUUUCAUACUUACUUUAUAAAACUAAUAAAAAGUAGAAUAUGGGAAAUUAAGUUUUCUGGUAAGUUAAUAUAUAUAAUGAAUAAUGGGAUUUGGCUUUCUAACCAUCAGAAUAAUAAACAAUAACUACCUGUGUUAUGCGUAUAUUAAAAAAAUAAAAGUAUUAAGCAUCCUACGGCGGAUAUCGGUGAAAAUCUCAUUUCAAUCAUUCUUCUUCUAAAGGCUGCGCCUAUACAUAUAUGAGGUUUGGGCUACAGAAAUACAGAAUUAAUCAAACCCACGCAAACAAAGAAGCGAGAUGGCGAUGGCUAGGCGAAGGGCGGUGAUGCUGUUCUCUGAGACAAAUUAUCGAACAUGUGGCGUUCGUCUGAAACGCAAGCCACCGAGCAUGACGUUCUAGCACCAGUCUCUGCAAGCGCAACCAUGACUAGGCAGAAGACAACGCCUAGCUCUCCUAUCUAUCUGCAAUUUUCAUUUUACUAUCAAUUUAAACACUAACACAUAUCAUACAUACAUGAUAUAUAUAGCAGGUUCUUGAUAAGAGUUUGAAGAUCAGUAUCUUUCACCAGCGAGAUAGAGGCGUAUUCCUCGACCCUCGUCAGCUUUUUCAGCUCUCGAACGAGUCGACUCUGUGAAGCUCUCCAAAGGCAAAUCGACGUGCAUGCUGACUUAAGUUAGCAUCUUCGAAGUUGACAAUAAACCCACUGAAUCAUACCUCCUCCUCGUUUGUUACAUCGAUGAUUUGUGAUGUUUCGUUGUCCAGCGGGAGGAGGACACCAAUAAAGGGAAACAAUUGAACAAUCGAUAAAUGAGGAAAAAAAAGGGAAAAUCGAAGGAGAAGGAGUGAUUUAUGUGAUGAGAAACCGAGGAGGGAGAAAUGAGGGGAAAUUUGAGCAAAAAAGUAAAUAAAUUGCCUACUUUUGGAGGGAUUUUUUUUCGUUUAGGCGGGAAGUGAUUUCCUUGGGGGGAAACAAAAUUUUUCAUGUCAUAUUAAUUUAUGGGGUCCAACCAUAAUUUAAAAGAGAUAUGUUUUAUAGCUCCAACUUAAAAACAACUCUUUUGUAUAUCAAAAUGAGUUAAAUGACUAAAACACCCUCAUAUUAUAUCAUUAAAAAAAAGGGAAUCAAGAUUUUCGUCCAAGUCAAGGAUGUGAAGAAGAUUUUACUUGAUAUUAAAGGUCCUAUCAAGAAGUAUAGGUAGCUUGAAGGAUCUAGAAUAUUUUGUCUUACUCAACUUUGAAACAUAUUGAGACUUAUUUUGAGACUUAUUGAGACAUAUUCCAUGUUAUUUAUUUUUAGUUUGGUAUGUUGUUCAUUCUAUUUGUUAUGUUGAUUUUUGUAUAUUAUUGUCUUGAGAAACAAAAGAAAAACACAAAAAAAUGUUGGUGGUUGUCGUGAUCAUGAUGGGGGCUUCCCAUCGUGGACACAAUGGCAGCCAUCGUGGUCACGACAGCGCCAUCGUGGGCCACGGUCGUGCCCUCGCCCCCGUCGUGCCCCGCCCUCGCCCACGCCCGCCAUUCGCUCCGUCGUGUCCACCAUCGUGUCCACGAUGGUAGGACACGAUGGUGGACACGAUGGCUCUCACGAGUCAUCGUGUGGUUAUUAAUAUCAUUUAAUUUCAAACUUAAAUAUGAUUAUUGACUUGUUUAAUGUAUUAUAUUAUGUUUAAAAUUAUAAUUUAGCAAUCAAGCUUGAUUUGUAAUAAAAAUUAAACGAGUUGGAGUUAUAUACAUCGAGAUCUAUGAAUAUCUACUUGAAAAAUACUUAUAACAUUUCAUGGAAUGUUAUAUAGUUGUCAUGACUCAUUUCACAAAAACACUUAAAUUAUGUGUUUUAAGACAAAAUGGUUUGAUUAACUAUGUAUAAUGUUGUUUAGAAGAUAUAUAACAUGUUCAAACUUAAAUUAGUCGAAUAUAACAUCAUAAAUUUUAAAAAUUUCAAACAAUAAUAACACACGAUCGUGUACCCGGUCGUGGACACGAUGGUGUGAUUGUGGUCACGAUCAUGGCCAUCGUGAACCACGAUCGUGCCCUCCGUUUCUCCUGCCCGAACCCAUCGCGGGCACGAUGGGUGCCUCCCAUCGUGAUCAUGAUGGGAGGUUUCCAUCGUGAUCUCGGCAAAUAACAUGGAAUAAAUCUCAAUAAGUUUCAAAGUUGGGUAACGACGGGGAAGACACGACGCGAGGGCACGAUCGUGCCCACGGUUGUGCCCACGGUGAGCUCCAUCGUGAGGUGUCAUUGUGGGCACGAUCGUGUCCACGAUGGUAGACUCACGACCAUAGGCACGAUGGCUCUCACGAGUCAUCGUGUGGUUAUUAAAAUCAUUUAAUUUUGAAUUUAAAUAUGAUUAUUGACUUGUUUAAUGUAUUAUAUUAUGUUUAAAAUCAUAAUUUAGCAAUCAAGCUUGAUUUGUAAUCAAAAUUAAACGAGUUGAGUUAUAUACAUCGAGAUCUAUGAAUAUAUACUUGGAAAAUACUUAUAACAUUUCAUGGAAUGUUAUAUAGUUGUCAUGACUCAUUUCACAAAAACACUUAAAUUAUGUGUUUUUAAGACUAAAUGGUUUCAUUAACUAUGUAUUAAAAUGUUGUUUAGAAGAUAUAUAACAUGUUCAAACUUAAAUUAGUCGAAUAUAACAUCAUAAAUUUCAAAAAUUUCAAACAAUAAUAACAUACGAUCGUGUACCUGGUGGACACGAUGGUGUGAUCGUGGUCACGAUCGUGUCCAUCGUGCCCUCCCAUCGUCGUGUCCUCCGUCCCCUCCCCCCAUCGUGUCCUCCCGUCCCCCGGCCCCGUCGUGUCCUCCGUCCCCCAUUCCCCUCGUCAUGUCCCCCGUCCCCCCCGGCCCGUCGUGCCUUCGGCCCAUCGAUGGCCGUGAUCGUGCAACGACCGUGCCCACGAUGAACAUCGACGGUCGUGCCCCCUGCCCACAAUGGACACGAUGGUCGGGGGACGGUCUUAUCGGCUGAGACAUUACCAUUGUGGGCACGACCGAGGGCACGAUCGUGCCCUCGCGUCGUGGCCUUCGCCCCCUUCCCCGUCGUCCCAUCGCUCCUCGCCCCCCAUCAUAGCCUUCGCCCCCUUCCCACCCCCAUCGCCCCUCGCCGGUCGCACCCCCUCGUUCGUGCCAUCGCCCAUCGCCCUCUUCUCCAUCGUGCGAUUGUGGGCACGACGUGGGCGACGGUCGUGCCGUCGUCGUGCCUCGUUGCCGCAGCCCCCUUCACCUCGGUCGUGCCAUCGUCGUCGCCCGUUGUGGACGCGAUGGGGGCUCCCAUCGUGGACACGAUGGUGCCGUCGUGGCCACGACCGUGGCCCACGAUGGCUGCCAUCGUGUCCACAAUAGGGGCGCCCAUCGUGAUCACGAUGGUGCCGUCAUGUCCACGACCGUGGCCCACGAGUUUAGCACAUUACUAACAUUGAGAAAACUGAAAGUUCUAAUUGUUUGUUAAAUAUAAGAUGAUUUUCUAAACACUAAUAUUUAUAUAAAUAAAUUAAAAUAUAGUAAAAUUUGGCUUAAUAUAUUUAGAACUAAUUCAUCUUGAUACGUCUGCAUAAUUUUUUUAUUUAUUCAACGUGGAAAAAUUAUCUUUUGUAUUAAAUUAAUGACAAUACAAAUUAUCUUUAUAUUAUAAACACUAAGCAUUUCUAUCAAAUAUAUGCUUUUUUAUAGCUGUAGACGAGAUGAUUCUCAAAAUUCACUUUUGAUCUUUCAAACUCUAAACGAGAUAAUGUUAAAAAGUUAGAGGUGGUCUAUCAAACUUCAUACAAGAUGUAUUCAAAACUUAAUUUUGGCUCCAAACAAUAAAUUGCUCUAAGUUAGAAGUGAUUUGCCAAACUCCAAACGAGAUGAUUCUUAUAACUAAAUUCCGAUCCUUUAAACUUCAAAUGAGAUCAUGCUUAGCACUCAUCUACAGUAUUUCAAGCUCCAAAUGAGUGAUGCUUAGAACUCAACUCCAGUCUAUCAAACCAUGGACAAGAUUAUACUUACAAAUCAGUUAUAGUCUUUCAAGCUCCACACGAAAUUAUUCUCACAAGCCAGUUAUGAUCUUACGAGUAUUUUGGUUUCAAACAAUAUGAUGCUCACAAAAUUAGCAGUGGUUUGUCAAGUUUCAAAUGAAAUGAUGUUCAUAACUUAAUUUCAACCUUUGAAGUUUCAAAUGAGAUAAUGCCUAACACUCAACUCCGGUCUUUCAAGCUCCAAAUGAGUGAUGCUUAGAACCCGGCUCAGGUCUCUCAAAAUAUAGACAAAUUUCAUAUAACAAGCUUUAGAUAAGAUAAUGAUUAGAUGUUCGACGUACAAAAGUCAAAUGUGAUAUUUCAAACCACAAACAAGAUGAUGCUCAAAGUCUUGUAAGAUUCGAGAUGACGUUCAUAUAUAAGAUGUGAUCUUAAAUUUUGUUUAUCAAUUUAUAAAAAUUAUACUCCUAUAAAAUUAGUAAAUCUUUCCUACACAUUAUAAAUAAAAAAUACGAUGUGUCAAUCCUUCAUCAUAUCAUAUGUCAAAUAUACCUAAUUUUUUUCUUCUUAUUUUUCUAAAUCUCCAACCUCACAUCAACUUUUUAUGAAAUUUCAUCAAAUAAAAAUUUAUAAAAAAANUUUCAAACCACAAACAAGAUUAUGCUCAAAGUCUUGUAAGAUUCGAGAUGACGUUCAUAUAUAAGAUGUCAUCUUUAAUUUUGUUUAUCAAUUUAUAAAAAUUAUACUCCUAUAAAAUUAGUAAAUCUUUCCUAUACAUUAUAAAUAAAAAAUACGAUGUGUCAAUCCUUCAUCAUAUCCUAUGUCAAAUAUACCUAAUUUUUUUUCUUCUUAUUUUUCUAAAUCUCCAACCUCACAUCAACUUUUUAUGAAAUUUCAUCAAAUAAAAAUUUAUAAAAAAAGACAAUCUAUUUUAACUCUCACCAAAAAUUAACUGACAAAAAUUAUUGACUAUCAUAUGCUAUAAUAAAAAAUAAUACUCCCUCCGUCCCUAAAAUAAGUUCUUCUUUUUCCUUUUUGGGACGUCCCAUAAAUAAAUUCCUCUUUCUUUCUUUCCAUUUUUGGACAACUACCCCACCACUAAUAAUACUUUAUUUAUUCUUACUUUUCACUUAUUCACCACUCCCAAUACUAAUUAUACCACUUUUUCACCUUUUCACCACUCUCAAUACUAGGGCUGUCUAAAUGGUUAUCGGGUUUUGGGUAUCCAAUUAACCGAACCGAAAUUCCCGGGUUUGGGUAUCCAAUAACCGAAAAUUUCGGGUAAUCGGUUAUUAUUUUUUUGGAAAUUUCGGUUAUCGGUUAACCCGAAAAAUCGAUCGGGUUAACCGAAUAACUGAAAUUAUUUUAUUAAUUAUUUAAUAUAUAUAUUAUCAAUAUAUCAUAUAUAAUAUAUUAUAUAUUUGUAAAUUAAUAUAUAAAUAUAUUUGUAAAUUAUUUAAUAUAUAUAUAUAUUUGUAAAUUAUUAUAUAUAUAUAUAUAUUAUAUAUAAUAUAUUUGUAAAUUAUAUUUGUAAAUUUACAUAUAUAUUAUAUAUUUGUAAAUUUACAUAUAUAUUAUAUAUUUACAAAUAUAUUAUAUUUGUAAAUUUACAUAUAUAUUAUAAUAUAUUUACAAAUAUAUUAUAUAUUUGUAAAUAUAUAUUAUAUAUUUGUAAAUUUACAUAUAUAUUAUAUAUUUGGAAAUUAUUUAAUAUAUAUAAUAUAUAUUUGUAAAUAUAUAUUAUAUAUUUGUAAUUUAUUUUAGAGUAGAUAGAGCAAAAAUUAUUUGAAUUUUAUUUUUUAAAUGGGUAUUUCGGAUACCCAAAUAACCCAAUUGGUUAACCGAAGCGGGUAUUGGGUAACUGAACUUCUAAAAUGGUUCGGGAACGGUUAUUGAAAUUUGGCAAUUUCGGGUUCGGGUAACCGAAAAUUCGGGUACGGGUAACCGAACCCGAACCGAUCGACAGCCCUACUCAAUACUAAUUAUAACAUAUUUUUCUCUACUAUCAAUACACUUUACAAUUUUUUCUUAAACCGUCUCCAAAGAGAAACUUAUUUUGGGGACGGAGGGAGUAUACAAUAAUAGUUACUCCCUCUGUCCCUAAAAUUUGUGGACCAAAAGAGAUGGCAUGAGUUUUAAGAUAAAGUAUGAUAGUUAUGUUUAAAUAGAGAUUGAGUUCCACACUUUUUUAUAAAUAAUGAGAGGAAAAUUUUGUGGGGUCAUUUCCAAAUAAAAAAAGACCACAUUUUUCAAGGGCGUCUCAAUAUAAUAAUAAAACCACAAUUUUUAAGAACGAAGAAAAUACAGUAUAAAGUGGUUCCCCGUCGAAUUUCGACGGGUUAAUAUUUUUAUUAAGUGACCUGCAGCGGUGGUGGUGUGUAAAUUUUUUAAAUUAAAUUGGUAAAGCAUAAAAAAGUUUCAAUGUGACCAAGAGAAAGAAGUACAUAUUUAAAUAUUUAAUAGAUGCAAUUAAGAUAAAGAUAAUAGAUGAGAAAUAUUUGAAAAAUAGGAUCUUUGAAUUUCUUAUUUUUAUAAAGUAAUUCAUCUUUUUUUAAAUAAUUAAAUCUUAUAGUUAAUACCAAUAUAAAAAUAAAAUUAAAUGAAUUAAAAAUCAGCCAAAAGGCAAUUCUCGACAAACGUGCAACUAUAGUUUGAAAAAGUAACUAAGGUAGAGCCAAUUUCUUUAUUAAAUAAAAUGUUUUAUUGAAAUUAAAAAUAUUUGCCACAUGGCAAGAUCUCAACGGCGAGCUGCAUUAAAGCAGUGGCACGAUAGAAGCACCCCAUUGGGGGAAGUAAUAUAGUACUCCAUACUUCAUCUAAAAAGACAAGACAAAAGUCAUACCGCAUGGGCCCAUACCCCACCUUUGAUUGCGAAGGUACUUUUUGGUUAGGAUUUUUGAUGGAAUAUUAACAAAUCUAAAUAUUUUAUUAUUUAAAGCUUAAUUAACAAUCAAAUUAAUCAAUAUAAACAUGAAUAAUCAAAUUAGUUCAGCAAGUGAUACGGAGCCACCUUUGGGCCUCCUAAUUUUUUUUUUUAAUUUUGUAAAAAAAAAUUAGUAAUGUUAUUUUAUUAUAUAUACAGUAUAAGUACAUAAAGUAGGAGGAUUUGUUGUUAAAAAAUUCCACAUAAAAUUUAUAUGUAUUUCAGAUUUUUUUUAAUCUAUAUUUAUAUGUAAUAAUUUUAUAUUUCAAAUAUUAUUUUUGAAAAAAUUCACAUAUAUAUAUACUUCAAUUUGAAUUUUUUAAAUAAAUAAAGUAAUCCACAUCAAUUACUCAAUAAAGAACUUGACUCUAAAAACACAUAAAUUUUUAAUUUUAUAUAAAAUGUAAUGAUAACUAUUGUUAUUAAACAAUUUAAAUAUUUUAUAAACAAUAGUAAAAUUAUAUUUAAAUGUUAACCAGAUAUAAUACUUAGGUGUUAUAUUUAUAUGUUCAAUAUUUACGUGACUUCAAAUCACUUAGUUUUUAUGAAAAAUAUGUAUUGUAAAGAUUUUCAUAAUGGCAUAUAACAUAGUUGAGUUAUGAUUUUUUUUUUUUCUAAAGUGUCAUUUUUAAUUUUUCUCCUAUAUGAAGAAAACCUUUUUUUUUCAUAAAUAAUAGAAGAAACACAUCAUUAAUGUUGAAGGGGAUGAGUAAAAACAUGUUCACAUUAAAAUAUGUCAUUUUAAAAAAAUUGAGCUAAUCGUGUAUAAAAUUAUUUUUUUUAAGACUAGCUCAUUAAUUAACUAUGUUUUCUUAUUAGUGAAGUUUAAAUUGGCCAGUAGGAAAACAAAUCAUAUUAUUACAACUUUUAAAAAUACUAAUAAAAAAUAAAGUAAGUGUUAUAUACCGAAAAAUGAACUCCAACAAAAUUAGAAUAAAAUAUUUAGAUUAAUUUAAGUGUUAUCCCGAAACAUAUAUACUUAUUUAAUUACGUAUAUAAUUUUAAUUUUUUCCUAAAAAAUCAAAUUUUAUAAAAUUUAAUUGAAUAUAAUUUUGAAUAUGUAAACGUAUAUUUAUCAUUAUUUGUGAAAUAUAAAAAUUAUUUGAUAAUGACGAUUAAUACAAAUUUUACUAUUAAAUAUAAUUUUUUUUAAAUUCUAAAGAUUUAUAAAAUGAACCAAUAUAAAACACAAAACUCAAUAUCUAAUUAUUUUCCUUUUGAAAAACACAAAAAUCAAAAGUACAUAAAAAUAUAAAAAAAACAAUAAAAUUUAUAAAUAACGAUUUUACUACUGUUCUCAUAACAAAAAUGUACAGCAAUACAUGUUAACUAUCCACAUGUAUCUAUAUAUAUAAAUAUAAUUUAUCAAAAUAAUUGAUUAUCUGUCUCAAUGGAGACUCGAAAAUUACAUAUCAAAUAUUUUAUUAACUAAAGUGCACGAUUUUUAGGAAAGAAAAAAAAGAUAAUAAAAAGAAAAGAAAGGGAAAAAAUUGUUAAAUGAAAAGAAAGAGAGUAUUUGAUUUGAUUUAUAUUGUAAACUUCACAUUAUACAUUUUUUCAAAAGGAAUAUGCAUUCAAAUACAUAUUAGCAAGAAGUAAUUGUCGGUACCAUCUAAAAAACAUAAUUUAUGACCAUUUUUAUAAUUUUGGUCAAAAAUAUCCUUGACCCCGCGGAUCCUACUCUCCCAGUCCAACCACGUACAGUGUUCUCUCUCUGUCUCUCUCCCCCCGCUCUUGGCACAAAUAGUAUAAUUAUGUCAAAUGUACCUAAUGAAUGACACAAUUGUCACGAAUUUACCCAUUUGUACCAAAUGUGUCAUCAUUCAAUCUUCAGUCACAUUUGACACAAAUGUGCAUAAUUGUGUCUAGUAUGUACUUAAUGAAUGCCACAAUUGGCCUGAAUUACCAUUUGUACCAACUGUACCAUCAUACUGCGUGCCCAACUCGAAGCCCAACCCACACGCAAACCCGAACGCGCUCCUAACUAAGGGCAAAACAGUCCUAAAACGUAAAAAUUGGUCAAAAUUUUUGUUUUUCAGAUGGGAGACCAAAUAUUGAGUUUCAUUGUUCAAUAUGACCAUCUCACAAGUUUACUCUUUUCAAAAUUGACAUUGAAAUUAAUUUCAAAUUAAAAUCUUGACUUUUUAAUAUAUUAUACUAGAAUUGAAGGUUUUAUCGUAUAUUAUAUUUUAUAUUUUUUUUUCCUCUUUCUUAUGUAUCCAUGAAUUGCAUAUUUUUAUAUUUAUUUUAUUUUUGUUCAUCUUUUUAUUAUUUUUUCUUUUUAAACUUGUGAAAUUCGCCCAAUUUUAAUAUAUUUGAUAUCAUAUCAAAUUAAAGAUUAAAGUUCACGACAAGAAAUUUAAUUUGAUAUAUUUUAUGUAGAUAAUGAAUUUAAGAUUUAAAUACAUGAGGACUAGUUUUUUAUGGAAACUUUUUUGCAGAUGUAUCAAACUUCAAACCUUUGCAAAAUAACAAAAGUCAUACCCCAUACCCCAUACCCCACACCCCACACCUUUGAUUGCGAAGAUACCUUUUUCUUUAGUUUUUUGGGAAACCAUCUUCACUCCAUUUUAGCAUUUUUCUUUUUUUGACUUUUAGCUAUGAUUUGAGAAAACCGUUAACAAUAGAUUCGAGGGCGGUUAAUUAGGAAGAUUAGUUUUGAUAGAUAAAAAAAGUAAAAUUCAUUCUAUUAUUUACUUUGAUGGAUUAUAAUUUUGAAAUAUCCCAAGACCUUAAUUUGAUUAUUUCUAUUAUUCAAAUUAUUUUUAUUUGAUUCAUUUUUCAUAAAAAUAGUUAAUCAUUCACAUAAUCAAUACAUGCUAAAGUUGGCCCAUAAAAUUCAGGUUCAUUUGAAUCCCGCGCAUGACAAAUGAAAAUUUAAAAUGCCUAAUUCUUUCUUUAUUUUUAUUAAUUGAGUUAAUUUUUCUUUAUUUUUAUUUUGUUAACAUAAUUUAUUCUUUCUUACAUUUAAGAAAAUUGGCUUAUUUCCCUCCAAAAAAAGAAAAAAAGAAAAUUGACUGAUUUUAAAAUAUCCAACACACCUAUAAAUUAAAGAUCUUGUUGAAGAUGUCAGAGGAGAGAGACUGUGUUAUCGUUAGGAACUUAGGAUUGAAAACUUGCUUCAUCAUUUGUCUAUACUUCUUUCACUCCCAAUGCCUAUCGAAGCUAAAGUAGAUCAACAUCUAAGGCUGGAGGAAAACAACUUUAAUUUGGUGUUGCACUCAAACAAAGUAAUUUUUCCAAGAACUUUCCUACAAGAGAACUCAAUUUUUUUUAAUCAAUAGUUCAUUUUUAGGGUGUGCUCAAUUUGAUAGAUAAAUUUAUCAUGGGAAAAUAAAGUAUAACAAAAAUUUAUGUCUUUAAAAAGUCUUUUUUUUUUUUUCAGAAGUUCACCAUUUUUUCUUUCUUAUUUUCACUUCAAAGAGAGACAACAUUAUCUCUCGAUCUUGGUGUGGUAAUAUUAUCCAUUUUAAAGUGAAAAUAAGGAAGAAAAGGUAGAGAACUUGAUCUCUUUUGUGUAAAAUAUGGGAAAAGAAAUGAGACAUUUAAAAUUAUAAAUUUUGGUCAUUAAUUCUUUAUUUUUCCAUGAUAAAUUUAUCCAUGUGAACGUACCCUUAGGGUUAAUUAAUUCAUCGUAACUAAAUUCCAUUCCUAGCGGUAAGAGGGGAUUUAGGCCAUAUAUAUAUGCACUUGUAGGAAACCAACAUGAAAUUUCCAUUUCUUAAUUUGCCAAUGCCGACUAGUAGGAAAGCAACAUGAAAUUUCCAUUUCUUAAUUUGCCAAUGCCGAUUUACAAUUUUUUUUUUCUUUUUCUCUAAUAAAAAGAAAUUAAAAUAGGAUGAAAUAGAACUAUAAAUAUACAAUUAAUCGAAGAAAUUAAUCAAAACCAAGUCUGUCUUUUCCUUCAUCCAUCAUGUUUCCGCACAUCUCUCUCCACAAUUCCGCCCCUUUGAAGUUGCUGAUUUUCUCUCUCAUCCUCUCUUCCUCUCUCACCAAAACUACCUCCGUCGCCGCCGUGCCGGGCUGCCAUGGAAAGUGCCUCGACUCCAACAUCCCUUACCUGUUGGGGAUGUUCGUGCUGGUUUCCCUCGUAAUUGGGAGCACUUGGAUCGUCUGGUCGAAGCGGCAAAAGAAGCUCGAGCACCAUAGAAUGAGCUUGUUCGAUAGAAAUGGCGGAAACAUAUUGAAGAAGAAGCUAUCCCAGCGCAAGAGAUCUGCGCACCUCAAAAUAUACACAGCUCGGGAAAUGGAGAUCGCCACCAACAAUUACAGCGACACCAGAUCGGUAAUGCAGAGGUGCAAGCCGGGGAAAUUCUACCGCGGAACCUUCGAGAACAAUCGAGAGGCCGUCGUGAUGAAGCUUCCGUCGCCGGUGCCGCAGUCGAGAAUCGAACAGUUCGUCGACGAGGUGAUCUUCCUCUCCGAGGCCCACGGGAAUCUGGUUAGGGUUUUGGGCUGCUGUUUGGAGACGAGCUCUCCCUUGGUAGUUUACGAGCUCCACGGCGACGGCAACCGCACCCUCGCCGACUGCUGCACGCGCGGCGGCGCGUGCGCUGGCAUCCUCCGGGCGGCGGUGAGGGGGCUCGCCGACCUGCGGUCGCGGAAUGCGAGGGCGGCGGGGUUCCUCCACGGCAACUUCUGCGGCGGCAACGUUUUGUUGGAUGAUUCUUUUGAUGCGAAGCUGUUCUACGCCGCCGCCUCCGGCAACCUCGUCGCUGAUCGAGAUCGUGUUGGUUUCGAUGACAAGGACGUGUGUAGCUUCGGAGCAGUGCUGGAUGAGCUGCUGUCGACGCGUCGGAGGGCGCCGGAGAGUGACGGGGAUCUCGCCACGUGGCUGCUGUCGGAAGAUUCGGAAGUAGUUUAUGUGAAGGAGGUUGCCGCCAUGGCUGCGAGAUGCAAGAGUGUGCUGCCGGAGGAGAGGCCUACCUUGUCUGAAUUGGAAGCUACGCUUAGUAGAUUGAUUGGAAAUUUAUAGAGCACAACUAGUUGCUAAUACGUUUCUGUUAUGCUAUUUUGUAGCCUUAAAUCAUAUUUGACUAUUUGUAAGCAUUGAUUCCAUCGUGUACAGUUUUAAAUAGAGAAUCAGAUCUGAUCAAUGAAAAACAGUUUCCAUUUCCACUUUUCAUAUUCUUAUUCUCUCAUGGCUACUGUUCAGCCAUAUUUCCCCUCGAUCCACCUAAAGAUUUGAGGAUGUGCUUCUUCUCCCAAUAUCGCUCCGCUGCAAUUCAAAAUUCGGACUUUGAUAUGGCUACGUUAUGAUCAAUUUAUUUUCAGUUGGAUUCUUGCUGCGAUCUCUCAUUCAAUGAUCGGAUAAAAAUAAUUUGAAUAAUAGAAAUAAUCAAAUUCAAAUUCAACUCCAGACGCUAGUGAUGAUUAUAUUUUGAAAUUUCGAGGCAUUUCUGAUCAGUUAUCCAAUAUUGGUCAACAAAUUGCAGAAACUGAUUUUUAAAUACCCAUGUCCCAAAGAAAUAAGACAUUUAUAAUUGAAGUAAUAUUUUAUUUUAAAAUAAAUAUUAAUUCAAUAAAGAAACUAAUAUUAGGAGACAAAUGAUUGGACAAAGAGUUGGGACAUCUGAUUCUAACGAUAGGACAAUAAAGAAACUAAUAUUAGGAGACAAAUGAUAGGACAAAGAGUCGGGACAUCUGAUUCUAACGAGUUUCCUGAGGGUUAUAGGGUUUAGGAGUGAGAGGAUUUUUUAGGACAGUAACUUAUGUUAAUUUGGAAAUUAGGACAAAAACUUUUUGACUUGUAAAAUUUUUUUAGAGUAAAAUAAGACACUAAUUAAUAAGCGUCGUAAAAAUAAGACAUUUCUCGGCCGAGAAUUGGUCUGACAAAUGUCCUGCGGGUGCAACACUUAUUAAUUAGUGUCAUAUUUUACUCUAAAAAAAUUAGUGUCCUAUUUUUAUAAGUCCGAAUGUUUUUGUCCUAAUUUUCAAAUCAACCUAAGUUACUGUCCUAAAAAACUCUCGAACUCCUAGGGUUUAGUACAGUACGUAUAAAAGUAUAAUAGCACAUCUAUUAUUAUUUUUAGGGGUAUUAGCCUAUAAAUAUCCGAACUUUUUCUAUUUUCUGAUUUUGCACCCUAACUUUAAAAUUUGCCUGAAAAUACCCGAACUUUAUAUUCUUUCUGAUUUUGCACCCAACGAAUUUUCACCCCCAAAUCGUUAAUAAAAUGGCAGUCGGAUUGAGAGGCAAGUUUGAAUUUCAUAACGAAACAAAUAAGUUUAUUGUCAAUUUGAGAUCUAAAACAUGUAAUUGUAGAUUUGAGAUGUCAAUCCGGCUAUCAUGUUAGCAACAAUUUCGAGGUAAAAUUCGUUGGGUGCAAAAUAAAAAAGAAUACAAUGUUCGAGUAUUUACAGAAAAUUUUUAAAGUUCGGAUGCAAAAUAAGAAAAUGGAAAAAGUUCGGGUAUUUAUAGACCAAUACCCUUUAUUUUUAUAUGAAAGGCGAUGGUAAAAAGAAUUACUAGUAACUACUCCCUCCGUCCCACUCCAAUAUGCUCGUUUUCCUUUUUGGGACGUCUCACUCCAAUAGGCCUAGUCUAAAAUUAGAAAUAAUUAGGGCUCUAAUUAAAAUUAUAACUAGUUACUUAAAGGGGAUAUACACCCCUAAUUAAAACCCUAAAAACUCUCAUUCACGUUUUCCUCCCACCUCUGCUCAAAAUUCUUUGUCGCCACUUCCCAAAAUUUGGCGACUGGUCGCGCCUCAACGGCUCUGAAACUCCGGCCUCUUUUCUCAUUCGGCCCUCUUCCCGAUUCUCCAGAAAUUGCCCACCGGAACAAGCCCUAACUCUAGUAACCUCAAGUGGAACUCAAUUUGGAGCCCUAACUCUCCCCUCUUCCUCAAUCUCAACGGAAACACACAAUUGUGGGAAAAAUGUCGAGCCCCAACUUCUCCGAUCGAGCCUCUCUCUUUCUUCCUCUUGGUUCAGGCAAAGUCGCCUCUGUAACUUCGGACGAAGUCGACGCCGCUCUUCGGCCUGUGAAAUUGUGAAAUUCGCCUCAAUAAUUUAACCUCUUAUUUUUCUAUUUUAUUUCUUUUUUAAAAUUGUGAAAUUCGACUAAUUAUAAAAUAUUUGAUAUGUAUAUCAAAUUAAAGAUCAUGACAAGAGCUUUAACUUGGUAUAAGUUAUGUAAAUAUUGGAUUUAAAAUAUAAAAAUUAUAUUUAUUUAAAAAUUAAAACUUAAGAAAUUUCUCCCCUCCUCCUCCUCCUCUUUUUUUUUUGAAUAAUCUAUUUUUUUUCAAUUUUUUAACUUAUAUUUUUUCUUUUUUACAAUAUCAAUUUUUAUAAUAUGAAUUAUUCUUUAUUAUUUUUAUAUUAAACUAAAUUAUUAUCUUAAAUUAUAGUAUUUUUAAUUAUAUUUAGAUUUUAUAUAAUAAUCAAAUUAAUAUAAAUUUUAAAUAUAAUAAAAUAUAAAAAUAUUUUUCGUGCGUUGCACGAGUGUAAAUGCUAGUUAAUAUAUAUUUUAAAAUUUGAAUUGAUAUAAAAGUAAAUCCAGCAGCCAAAAGGAGUGAAGUGAUCCAAGCUAAUUCGAAAAUCGAUUCGAGAGAAAUGCGAACUUAAUUUCGAAAUACUCGAAGUAAAUCUGAAAAUUUAUCGAAUCGAGCUCGAACUCAAGAUCAAACUAUAUUUGACAUUUGAAAAAUAAGGAGGCACGAUAGAACAUACAACACCAUGUAAUUAAUUAUUUGGUACACGAAUUUAUUUAAUUAAACGCUUAGAGCAUUACUAUAUAACAAUAACAAGAUCAAUGAGAAAGCCUCCGUCAAAAGAAACAUCUCAACAAACUCAUCCAGCAAAAAAUGCAAUAAAAUUGUUUUAAAAAUGGAUAAUUUUCCAAAAAUUCAUCAUCUUUGAGACAACUUUGUUGACACUAUAUUUAAAAACAUUCCAAUAAUAAAAACAAAAUAAAAAAAGCCAAUAUUCAUUAGUAUUUAUUAAGAUUAAGAUAUACAUGCAAGCUAAAACACACAACAUGUUAAUUUACAUUGCAGAUAAGAGCAACCAUUUCUUGUAAGAAAGCAUAGAAACAACUGUAUGAAAAAUGGUUAGUAUGAGAAGCACAGCAGCUGAUAUCUUCAAGUAAUUCCUCCUCACUCUUGCCAUCCAUCUCCCACGUCGAAGCCGUUUGCAUCUGUUCAAACUCUCAAACACAUUUGAAUAGCAAAAAUCUGAUGAUGAACCACAACAUUCUUCCCCAAUCUGUUGAACAUGCUGCAGAUCAUCUCAUCACUGCCUAUGAAGUUGCUGAUGACCCCACUUCGUCGUAGUAUCUCAACAUCUUUGGUGGAUCUGAUGAAACAAUGUAUGAAAAACAAGUAAUCUUUCACAUACCUCGGAUGAUCAUCAGGGAAGAAGCAGAGCUCGUACGCGAUCAAGUUCCUCAACAUGGACUCAGUCUUAUCUGAUAUGCACAAUGUGGGAGUUUAUGACUCCAUUGGCAAAACUGAUAUCCUUAGAGUGAUCCUCUCGACCCGUGUAGCCUAAUCCCGGCCUCCUCCAUCUCCGAGGCAGAGCACGUGUUGUGCACCGUGUUGCUACCGUUGUUUUCAGUGAAGCACUUGGCUGAGAAUGAGAAUGAGAAGAAAGAAUCAUACACUAGGCCUAAUAUAUGCUCAGCAUUGUGCAACAUUUCUGAACUAUAGUCGAGCUUUGAGGAAUCCGGCCAUGGGAGCACGUCUCCGGCUAGAAAGAGGAGGAGAUGGUGUAUGUUAUCGUCUGGAUGUUCCAUCCUUGUCAUGUCGAAAAGCUCGUUCAACACGAAGAAAGGGAGCUGGUUCUCCAACAACAGAAGAUCAUGCCUUAUUUGGACUAACAUGUGAUCAAAUUGAAAUAUUUGAUCACUCAUGUCUCUCAAAUCACUAAACCAAUAGCUUCUCAGCAGCUCAAUCACGAAGCAUCCAUCAAGAAGCAACAUCUCCACGAACUCAUCUUGAUCAAGACUGAUUGAUUUCGCGUAGUAAAGGCGAGCCUUUUCCUCCAUGCUCCUCACUUCCAACACACAUUUCUCAACACUCAACUCAUCCCUUCUUCCUAAUGUUUUUCUUAGAUACCUCAGCUUGUGCUGCUCCAUGGCCUUAACGCGAUCUUUCCCACGAUGGAUUGGGCCUAUAGAGACUAAUUCGGGUUCAAAAUCCUUUUCAUUUACUUGCCUCAGGUGUUGAUCUACUUUGGCUAUGAUAGGCUUUGAGGGAGUGAGAGAAGUAGACAAAUGAUGAAGCAAGUUUUCAAUCCUAACAACAACACAGUCUCUCUCCUCUGUCAUCUUCAAGAAUUAAGCCAAGAAACCAGAAAAUAUAUAUGCUACAAAAGAAGAAAACACCAUAAAAAUAUUAAACAUGUAGCAAUCUACAUAGGUUCAUUUGUUAUUGAAACUUACAAGAUAAACAAAAUGUAGAGCAUACUUACUAGAUUAUCACCAGGGAAUUUGAGUGGCUGAAACACGAACAAAGUUGUACAUUGCAGCUGAUUUCUUC